rfam:Neotoma lepida isolate 417 scaffold_5217, whole genome shotgun sequence.
UGGCACCCAACGUUGAGGUUUGAGAAUGUAGAGGAUCAGUGAAUGUUGCACACCAAAGCAGGCCUGCAUAUCAGUUGGACCACCAUGGAGAAUGCUCCACUAGUGAAGAUCCGGUCAAGUGAUCACCACAGGGAUGCCUGACCAUGAGACAGAUCCGGGAGUUGAUUUGUGCUGACGCAAGGUAAGUUUACCAUGGGACAAGCAUUUAGUAAGCAGGAUUUAUUUAUUUCAGGACUUAAACAGUCUCUCAAGACAUGAGGAACAAGNGUNAAAAAGAAAGAUUUNAANAANUUUCUUGAUUAUAUUGGGGACCUUUGUCCCU